UUCUAUUUGCCAAACCCUUUCCAUUUCCCAGUUCAGUCUAAAAAAUAUUGAUUUUCAUCCUCUCAUUUAGGAUGCAUUUUGAUGUUUUGAUUUAGGGUUUCAACAUUUCCACUUAGUCCUGCAUUUGCGGUAUCUUCAAAGAGAGGUUGGUUGCAAAAUCUACGAUUGGAGAAGAAAGUCAUUGUCUUUCGAAGGCACGAAUAGAAUCUGUGAGUCUGCGAUUAGUGUUUGAUGCUCUUCCUCUCUCUCAACCCACUAUUUGCGAUUGGAGUCUGCAAGUCUGCGAUCGGAGAAGAGAUUCGCUGCCUUCGAAGGUGUGAUUGGAGAAGAAAACCCUUUUCUUUUUCUCGUUCUACAAAUAGAGUGGUUGAGUUGCUUACCCACAACUAGUUUGAUUUCUCUGGCGAACACCGCUGCUAGUGUCGUCAUUUGCCACCACUAUCGUGACUAGAAACUCCAUCGCCACCCCCUGCAUCUAGUGCUGUCAGCAUUGCGUGUUGGUUUUGGAUGAAGAUGGAGAUGUGGAGACGUGAUAUGGAUCUGUCUAAACCUACUGCAUGUUGACUCUGUUUUUCAGGUGCUAGCUAAGAUGGCAAUAGUGAUGGUAAAGUAAUGAGAAUGUAGCUUGAUCGAAGAUGAAAAAGUUCCCCAAAAUCAGGCACCGAAUGUUGGAAGUGGUGUGCCAUCUACACAUAAUAUACUAAGAUCAAGUGGUGGAAGCAAAACAAUUUAAAAUUAGCAGUGCAUGUUUUAUAAUUGCCUUGUCAAAUUUUAAUGUUGUCUUUUUUUUGGAUGAUUGAAUAUUUUGGUAUUUUGGUGUAAUUAUGUUAUGUUGAUAA